GCUGUUAUAGCUCAGUUGGCAGAGCACGUCAUUGGUAAUGACGAGGUCGGCAGUUCGAACCUGCUUAACAGCUCCA
rnacentral:tRNA from 1 species